AUACGGAGGAUGCGAGCGUUAUCCGGAUUUAUUGGGUUUAAAGGGUGCGUAGGCGGUUUUGCAAGUCAGCGGUGAAACGCACGGGCUUAACCUGUGACCUGCCGUUGAAACUGCGGGACUGGAAUGCGGAUGCUGUGGGAGGAAUGUGUGGUGUAGCGGUGAAAUGCAUAGAUAUCACACAGAACACCGAUUGCGAAGGCAUCUCACAAAUCCGUGAUUGACGCUGAGGCACGAAAGUGUGGAGAUCAAACAGGAUUAGAUACCCUGCUAGUCCACACUGUAAACUAUGAUAACUCGCUGUCGGCGAUACACAGUCGGUAGCCAAGCGAGAGCGAUAAGUCAUCCACCUGGGGAGUACGACCGCAAGGUUGAAACUUAAAGGAAUUGGCGGGG
rnacentral:rRNA from 1 species